rnacentral:lncRNA from 1 species
GCGAAGGUCUGCAGCUUCACUCCUGAGCCAGUGAGACCAGGAACCCACCAGAAGGAAGAAACUCCGAACACAUCUGAACAUCAGAAGGAACAAACUCCAGACGCGCCACCUUAAGAGCUGUAACACUCACCGCGAGGGUCCGCGGCUUCACUCUUGAAGAACAGAAGGAACUAUUGACCUCAUCCUGUUCUCCAGGCUGCAAGUGAGAAAUGGGGUUCUUAGACUGGAAGAAGCCUCAGUGUGGGUAGAGGCAGCUGGGGCCUGAGGCAUGAGCCCCCAGAGGAAAACACAGGAAGCAGGUGGCCAAUCUUGUUCCAGAAGGGCUCUCACCAGGACUGCCCCAGAGUCCACACCAGAUUAUGAAAUAUGCCUUGUGAUUUUGCAUGAACAUCUUUGGCUGAAGAUUGACAAAUGUUGGAGGAAACUGCAACCUUUUUUUUUUUUUUUUUACCAUUAGUUAUUUUAUUGAGCAAUUACAAGUCCCAGGCUCUUACUUUUUCAUAUUAAUUUUUUACAACAAGUUUAUGAGAUGCACACUGUUCUCAUUUAUCAUAUAAGGAAACUAAAACUAAAAGAGUUUAAUAUAUUGCUCAAGGUUAUCCAGUGUAUUGGUUUGCUAGGGCCCUGUAACAAAGUACCUACAAACCGGGUGGCUCAAACAACAGAAAUGCAUUGGGAAACUGCAACCUCUUAUCAGUUAAUUUUCCGAGGCAAACAGUAACCUGGACUGAUUGUGAUUUCCAUGAGUUUCUCUUCUUGGUUUUUUUCCUUCUUGGUAUUGGUGGCUCAGAUGCAAGGCCCUGUGGUUCAAUAGGAAGAGCAGGAGCUUUAUAUUGGAAAACCUGCACUCUGGCUGGCUGUGUGCUGUCUGUGCCUCAGUUUCUUCAUCUGUAAAAUAGGAAUAAGAAUAUUACCCACCUUAGAUAAUUAGAGGGAGUAUUAGAACUCCUUGAAUACUACUAGGCACACAGUAAGUACUGAAGAAAUGUUAACUAAUUAUUAAUCUCACUAUUUAUUAGAAAAUGGAGAUUAAAGUACCUGUCUCACAGGUUUUUGUGAGAGUCAAAUCCAUUCAUUCAUUUGUUCAACAAAUACAUACUGAGCACCCCUAUGUGACAAGUAGUAUACGAGGCACAGGGCUGCUAUGUUAAAAACAAAAUGAGAUCAUUCUGUACUCCCCAGAACUAACAGACUGGUGGGGGAAGAGAUAUAUUAAGUGAUGCAUAAAAACACAGGCAUAAAUGUGCAAAUUUGUUGUAACAAUGCUUUGAAGGAAAAAGGUGGUGUGCUAUUGAGAGAAUAAGAGGGGAGGCUGCCUUAGGUGGUGAUGUGGUUUGGCUCUGUCUCCCCACCCAAAUCUCACCUUGAAUUGUAGUAAUCUCCAUGUAUGGUGGGAAGGACCUGGUGGGAGGUAAUUGAAUCAUGGUGGUGGGUCUUUCCCAUGCUGUUCUUGUGAGAGUGAAUAAAUCUCACAAGAUGUGAUGGUUUUAUAAAGGGGAGUUCCCCUGCACAUGCUCUUGGCUGCCACCAUGUAAUAUGUCCCUUUGCUCUUCCUUCGUCUUCCACCAUGAUUGUGAGGCCUCCCCAGCCACGUGGAAUUGUAAGUCCUUUAAAGCUCUUUCAUUUAUAAAUGACCCAGUCUCAGGUAUGUCUUCAUGAGCAGCAUGAGAAUGAACUAAUACAAGUAGGGUGGCCACAGAAGACUUCCCUGAAGAGGCAGGUGUUGAGCUCACCUAUGAAGGAUGGGUAGGAGUUAAAUAUUCCAGGUAAAGGCAAAACACACCUAAAGGUCUUACCUUAAGGGGAAAAAGGGUGAGGUGAAUUUGAGCCUAUGAAUGAGGUGACAGGGUUAGCAGAAAAUAGACAGGACAGAGGAUGAGUUCUAUUCUGAGUAUAAACCACAAAAGCAAUGGAGGAGGUAAAUGCUUUUAUAAAGUGUAAAAUCCACAUGUCUAUAACUUACUAUAUUUUCCAGCAUAAAAAGCUAGGAGUUGAAGUUUCACAUGGAGGCCAGGUGAGGAGUGAUUUCACCUCCAUGGCCUUUGCAGUUUGCACUCAGGAUAAAACAAUUGCCUAAAAACUACACAUGUUAUGGCAGAAAGUGUGUGUGUCAGUGUGUCUGUGUAAUCCGAAUUCCCAAAGUGCAUAACCCUUUCCUCGAAUCUCAUCAUCUGAAUGCAUCAGCUCUUUGAGCCCCAGUUUCCUCCUUUGUAAUCAUGGGGCCAUUUCUUCUUCUUUACUAAUGUGGCUGUUUUCUCAUAAGGUUGUUCUGAGAAAAACUCCAGUAAAUGUUGAUUCCCUAUGCCUCUUCUUUUCUCUGUGGCUUAAGCUUCACUGUCUGGUGCUUCUGAUGACAGUCUGCAUUUGAGAGAAGGCAUUAAACAUUCACAGCUGGCUUUUCAUCAAAAUGUGUCCUGCCCACCACACAAUCUUGGAGAACCCAUUGGCAUCUGACCACUCUAGAGAUUGCCCCUUUCUUAAAGGAGCCCCCUGGCCUCCCCUACCCAGUACUAAAAUCCAUCCAAUUCACACACCAUUGCUGUGGAAGUUAGUCCUUCUUUUAAUUCUGAUCAAGUGAGCAAAAGGGGAAAUAAGGAGGGAUCCAUCAGAACAGCUCAUGAAAAAUAUGUACGUUCUUUAAAGGAAGACAGCAUACAAAUGGGAUAUAUUUUUUUUUCCAAAAGGGAGGGGGAAAUACACGCAGGCUUUUAAACAGAAGACUUUAAGCGGGGAGUGAGAGAGGAAAAAUAUGUCUCUUAAAUGCAUUCAGCGCCAUUGCCACAAGGCUGCCGAGCCAGGAUUGUUUAUUAGAAGAUAAGAUAGUGAAAAAUGUAUUUUGCAGAAAGAAAAUAGUAAAGUCAGGUCUGAGGCAGAUAAGAAGCCAAAUUUCUAUUUUAUGCUCAAUUGAGUGACUCAGUUACAUUAUCUGGGAAGCAGGGGUGAAAUAACACCCUUCGGAAAUGAGGCCUGGGUUGCUCUGGGUCUCCUUCCAGCCUUGGCCAAGCUGAACUCUGCACAGCUGGGAUGCUGCCUUCUCAGAGCAGAGUAUUUGCCAUCUAGGGAUGAGGGGAAGAAAGGUUCUGAUCUUUUCUCUUCAGCUCCUUUUUUUCUCCAUCUUUUCAUAUGAGCACUCCAGUUCAGCUUCAUGCUUCCCCUUCUGCUGCUGAAGGUGAGAAAAUAAAAGCACACACAUGCAUACAAGAUGAAGCUCUGCAAAGACCAACCGAUGUUGAAGCCAGAAGCAUCAUUAGAGUUCAGCUGGUAUAGGGGUCUGUGGUCAGUCCUUUAUUUGGCAAGCACAAACAUGUCAUUUGAGUGUUUUUACACAGGGCAUUGUUCUCUAGUUUGCCAAAGAUCCUACUACACCUUUUAAAAAUUUUACCUGGUGCUUUACACAUUUUCAUUGUGUGUCUGGUCCCUGGAGAAAUGUAAGAUGAUUUCUCUAGACAUCUUCCAGAAUCCUCAGUGAAAAGAUGGAGAAGCUUCCCUCCAGAGAGGUCAAGAGGCUCAUUAAAAGUCACACAGCUGGUGAGUAUUAUCAUUACAAACAGGCUGUACUUCUAAUCAUCUCUUAUCCUUUCCUAAUGGUUCAGCGUUUGGGCCCUUUUCCAUUUUGGAGAUCCUUCAUUUAUUAUCCAGUUGGAGGUCAGAGCAAUUUGAAAAAUGGAUAUUGACUUUUUGGGCCAAUAGUCAGUUCAAAAACUCACUUAGUUGUGCAUUGGUAAGCCUGUGGUAGACAGAAUAAUGGCCCCUGAAGAUGUCCAUAGCUGAAUCCCAGAAACCUGUAAGUAAUUUUGCAAAUGUGAUUAAAUUAAGGAUCUUCAACUGGAAUGAUUAUCCUGAAUUAUCUGGUGAUAUGGUUUGGCUGUGUCUCCACCAAAUCUCAUCUUGAAUUGUAGCUCCCAUAAUCCCCACGUGUUGUGGGAGGGAC